rnacentral:rRNA from 1 species
UACGUAGGGUGCGAGCGUUAAUCGGAAUUACUGGGCGUAAAGCGUGCGCAGGCGGUUCGCUAAGACCGAUGUGAAAUCCCCGGGCUUAACCUGGGAACUGCAUUGGUGACUGGCGGGCUAGAGUAUGGCAGAGGGGGGUAGAAUUCCACGUGUAGCAGUGAAAUGCGUAGGGAUGUGGAGGAAUACCGAUGGCGAAGGCAGCCCCCUGGGCCAAUACUGACGCUCAUGCACGAAAGCGUGGGGAGCAAACAGG